GGUUACCCAGGAUUCGUGGGAGCUGCAACAGGUGGAAAACCUCCGGUACGUGGGGCGCACUGGACCGGUUCACCCCUUCCGACCUGGCUAUACAGACGUUGGGACUCUCGGAGCCGGCAUGAGACUUGCAGGUGGCCUUGGUUUCUUAGACAGGCACAGAGGGCUAACUCCCUACUGGUUGACAUGCGGAACUUGUUCAACUUCUUUCGGGGUGGUUCUAUCUGCUGAUUCUUGGAGAUAGACUGUCUGGAUGCACUGGUUCUGGUUGAUCGAGCAACUACAGUUAUUCAGAUAAACAGGUCAUAGACGACAGGUGAAACAACUUUAACAACGGUAAACGGUCCGGAAAACUUCG